GCCUAGAUAGCUCAGUUGGUUAGAGUAUGGUGCUGAUGAUGCCAAGAUUGCAGGUUCAAUCCCUGUAUGGGAUA
rnacentral:tRNA from 1 species